UGUGCAUCAGCCGACGCCCACCUUGUUGUCAUUAAUAAUGCUGAAGAACAGGGCUUUUUGAAUAGAAAAAUUAGUGUCCGUCGGUGGAUUGGCCUGAGUGAUUCGGCAUCUGAAGGUGACUGGCGCUGGGUAGAUGGAACCGAUUAUAAUUCCACUGCAACGCUUUGGAAUAGGGGAGAACCCAAUGAUUCGAACAGUGGGGAAGACUGUGGAGAAAUUGUUGAUGGACAUUGGAAUGAUCAACCGUGUGAAAUUAAACAGAGGUGGAUCUGUGAGAAACCAGCACAGUGAUGUUCUCCUUAAAUUCGAAGUUCGUGCAAAAUGUGCAAUGAACCGGCUUGGCAAUGUUGAACAUGUCGCAGGAAUGUGAUAGCAGAGUAGGAGGCCAUUCGAAUUACGUGGUCUUUGCUGACAUUU